CGGGAAACUGGGGAUAAUACCCGAUAGGUCUCGAUUGCUGGAAUGCAUCGAGAUUUAAAGCUCCGGCGCCUAAGGAUGGGUCUGCGGCCUAUCAGGUAGUAGUGGGUGUAGCGUACCUACUAGCCUACGACGGGUACGGGUUGUGAGAGCAAGAGCCCGGAGAUGGAUUCUGAGACACGAAUCCAGGCCCUACGGGGUGCAGCAGGCGCGAAAACUUUACAAUGCUGGCAACAGCGAUAAGGGAACCUCGAGUGCCAGGUUACAAAUCUGGCUGUCGAGAUGCCUAAAAAGCAUUUCAUAGCAAGGGCCGGGCAAGACCGGUGCCAGCCGCCGCGGUAACA
rnacentral:rRNA from 1 species